CACGUAGGGUGCGAGCGUUGUCCGGAAUUAUUGGGCGUAAAGAGCUCGUAGGCGGUGUGUCGCGUCGGCCGUGAAAACCUGCAGCUUAACUGUGGGCUUGCGGUCGAUACGGGCAUCACUGGAGUUCGGCAGGGGAGACUGGAAUUCCUGGUGUAGCGGUGAAAUGCGCAGAUAUCAGGAGGAACACCGGUGGCGAAGGCGGAUCUCUGGGCCUUACCUGACGCUGGAGGCGCGAAAAGCCUAGGGGGAGCAAACAGG
rnacentral:rRNA from 1 species